rnacentral:rRNA from 1 species
GACGUAGGGCGCGAGCGUUGUCCGGAUUUAUUGGGCGUAAAGAGCUCGUAGGCGGCUUGUCGCGUCGUCCGUGAAAACCUGCGGCUCAACUGCAGGCUGGCGGUCGAUACGGGCAGGCUGGAGUUCGGUAGGGGAGACUGGAAUUCCUGGUGUAGCGGUGAAAUGCGCAGAUAUCAGGAGGAACACCGAUGGCGAAGGCAGGUCUCUGGGCCACUACUGACGCUGAGAAGCGAAAGCGUGGGGAGCGAACAGG